AAUAGCUCAGCUGGAUAGAGCAACGGCCUUCUAAGCCGUCGGUCGGGGGUUCGAAUCCCUCUU
rnacentral:tRNA from 1 species